AGAGCGAACGCUGGCGGCAGGCCUAACACAUGCAAGUCGAACGGACCCUUCGGGGUUAGUGGCGGACGGGUGAGUAACACGUGGGAACGUGCCUUUUGGUUCGGAAUAGCUCCUGGAAACGGGUGGUAAUGCCGAAUGUGCCCUUCGGGGGAAAGAUUUAUCGCCAUUAGAGCGGCCCGCGUCUGAUUAGCUAGUUGGUAAGGUAAUGGCUUACCAAGGCGACGAUCAGUAGCU
rnacentral:rRNA from 1 species